rnacentral:rRNA from 1 species
CCUACGGGAGGCAGCAGUGAGGAAUAUUGGUCAAUGGACGAGAGUCUGAACCAGCCAAGUAGCGUGAAGGAUGACUGCCCUAUGGGUUGUAAACUUCUUUUAUAUAGGAAUAAAAUGAUCCACGUGUGGGAUUUUGUAUGUACCAUAUGAAUAAGGAUCGGCUAACUCCGUGCCAGCAGCCGCGGUAAUACGGAGGAUCCGAGCGUUAUCCGGAUUUAUUGGGUUUAAAGGGAGCGUAGGUGGAUUGUUAAGUCAGUUGUGAAAGUUUGCGGCUCAACCGUAAAAUUGCAGUUGAUACUGGCAGUCUUGAGUACAGUAGAGGUGGGCGGAAUUCGUGGUGUAGCGGUGAAAUGCUUAGAUAUCACGAAGAACUCCGAUUGCGAAGGCAGUUCACUAGACUGCAACUGACACUGAGGCUCGAAAGUGUGGGUAUCAAACAGGAUUAGAUACCCGGGUAGUC